rnacentral:rRNA from 1 species
GGGCUAUUCUGGGAGCAUCAGAACAGAGGCUGAUUAUGGCCUGAUUGAACGCUGGCGGGAUGCUUUACACAUGCAAGUCGAACGGCAGCACGGACUUCGGUCCGGUGUAUGAGCGGCGAAUCGCGAGUAAUGUAUCGGAACGCCAGUAGUGGGAUAACUACGCUGAAAGCGUAGCUAAUACCGCAUACGCGCCCUUCGGGGAAAGCGGGGACCUUUCGGGCCUCGCACUAUUAGAGCAGUCGAAUGGAUUAUAGGCUGGUUAUGGGGUAACGGCUCACUCAGCGACGAUCCAGCUGGUUUGAGGACGACCAGCCACACGGACGGAGAUGAUUGCCCCAGACUACGGAGGCAAGCGGUGGGAAUUUUUGACAAUGGGGGAACCUGAUCCAGCCAUCCGCGUGUGCGAUGAAGGCUCGGGCUGCUGUAAAGCACUUUUGGCAGGAAAAGAAACGGCAUCGGAUAAUACCCCGUGCAACUGACGGUACCUGCAGAAUAAGCGCGGCUAACUACGUGCCAGCAGCCGUAAUGUAGGGUGCAAGCGUUAAUCGGAAUUAGCUGAAGGUAAAGCGUGCGCAGGGCGGUUCGGAAAAAGAAAGACGUGAAAUCCCAGAGCUUAACUUUGGAACUGCAUUUUUAACUACCGAGCUAGAUAAAGUCAGAGGGAGUGUGGAAUUCCGCAGGUAAAGAAAAUGCAGAUAUGCGGAGGAACACCGAUGGCGAAGGCAGCCUCCUGGGAUAACACUGACGCUCAUGCACGAAAGCGAGCAAACAGGAUUAGAUACCCGGUAGUCCACGCUCCUAAACGAUGUCAACUAGCUGUUGGGCCUCGGGCCUCGGUAGCGCAGUUAACGCGUGAAGUUGACCGCCUGGGGGAGCAUUGCCAAUGCGAUUAAACUCAAAGGAAUUGACGGGGACCCGCACAAGCGGUGGAUGAUGUAGAUUAAUCUGAUGAACGCGAAAACCUUACCUACCUUGACAUGUUCAAACUCUUCCGAAGAGAAUGGGAGUGCUCGCAGAGAACCGGAACACAGGUGCUGCAUGGCUGUCGUCAGCUCGGGCUCUUAGAUGUUGGGUUAAGUCCCAACGCGCAACCUGUCAUUAGUUGCUACGAAAGGCACCUCUGAAUGAGGAUCGCUGGUGACAAACUGGAGGAAGGUGGGGAUGACGUCAAGUCCUCAUGGCUCUUGCGGUAGGGCUUCACACGUCACACAUGGCGAUGAGAGGUCGCUAACUGGCGAGGGGGAGCCAAUCCCAGAAACCCGAUCGUAGCCCGCUGACUGGCCUCAACCGACGGUGUGAAGUCGGAAUCAAGUAGGUAUCCCGUGAUCAGCAUGUCGCGGGUGAAUGACAAGUCUCGGCCUGUACACACCGCCCGUCACACCAUGGAGUGGGUUUUACCAGAAGUAGUUAGCCUAACC